rnacentral:rRNA from 1 species
GAUGAACGCUGGCGGCGUGCCUAACACAUGCAAGUCGAACGAAGCACCUUACCUGAUUCUUCGGAUGAAAGUUUGGUGACUGAGUGGCGGACGGGUGAGUAACGCGUGGGUAACCUGCCCUGUACAGGGGGAUAACAGCUGGAAACGGCUGCUAAUACCGCAUAAGCGCACGAGGAGACAUCUCCUUGUGUGAAAAACUCCGGUGGUACAGGAUGGGCCCGCGUCUGAUUAGCUGGUUGGCAGGGUAACGGCCUACCAAGGCAACGAUCAGUAGCCGGUCUGAGAGGAUGAACGGCCACAUUGGAACUGAGACACGGUCCAAACUCCUACGGGAGGCAGCAGUGGGGAAUAUCGCACAAUGGGGGAAACCCUGAUGCAGCAACGCCGCGUGAGUGAAGAAGUAUUUCGGUAUGUAAAGCUCUAUCAGCAGGGAAGAUAAUGACGGUACCUGACUAAGAAGCUCCGGCUAAAUACGUG